UGGACAUCUUUAUUUAAGCAAUACGACAACUUUUUACGAAUGAAAAUAAAUAAAUAAAUAAAAGUAUAGAUUUCAGACGCAGUUAAGCUUGUCGAUUGCAGACGAUGGCAAAAGCAUCUGGCAGUAAACAACCCAAUGGUCUACGAAGAAUAUAUAAGAGAUGGAAUAGUAAAAAUGAUUAGUAUCUAUUGUAAGCAAGUACAGCUAUGUGCUCCAAAAGUUGCAUACAAAAAGGUCAAGUUAGACCCCGGGGAAAAAUAAAUAAAUUCCCAUCCCGGAUGGUCUCUAACAAUUCCAAAUGAAGUUGCAUACAAAAAGGUCAAGCUAUGCCCCGGGGAAAAGUAAAGAAAUUCCCAGCCCGGAUAUCUCUGACAAUUGUCCGAGCGAAUACAAAAAGGUCAGUUCCACGGUUGCAGUUGGAGAAGCGUGCUUCAGUUUGGAGUUGAUAUCAGUUCAGAUAAUUCUUUAACAGCUCGUUCUACUGCAUAAAUAAUCAUUUUCCUUAUCUGUUUACACGAAAUCGUUUGCAAGUAAGGUUUUGAAGGAAAUAAAUAAGUCAAAACAUCAACGAAAGGAUGUGCCUACCUCAAGUUUGUCUUCUCUGGCUCUAUGGUUCUUGGGUAGUUGCCUGAACUCCUCUGUUAAACGGAGGCAUUCCUGGAUAUUCUCUGGAGAAACGAAGUCCAAGGCGACUUUGGUGCAUGACUGGAAAACAUUGCUAUGAGAGACCAUAAACAUGUGUUGCACAACAUGGAACGAUUAUGUAUUAAUUAAAUACCUUCAGGUUUCUAACUUGGUGUGGACAUCCAGCCGGAAUAAAAACAGCCUCUCCGAGAUUUUGCUCAAACGUCCACGGUUCAACUCCUAGGAAUCACGUACACACUUGCAUGAGGAAAAAGAUGAAAAAACACGGUAUAGGCAAAGUUUUUACAUUAGAUAUCAAUAUGUCAUUCUUUGUACUAACCAUAUUCCUCCUUUAGUCUCCUUUUGUGCUCCGCGGUUAGGUAAAAUGAUUGGUCAUGAAUCGGAUGGAUUACCUGAUCAUAAACGCAACCAUCAAGAACGUUGAGUGACUACCACUUAAAGGAGUGUUCCGUUCAAUGCAGAUGGCCAAAGGGUUUAGCAUUAUUACGAUUUAAAAAACUUCUUUUGAGAAGUACCCAGCAGUAAGCUUGUCGAUUUAAUUCUAAAAGUGCUCCCCCAUGGCUUACCUUUUCAACUGGGGAGCAGUAGGUAUGCCUGAAUUCUGUGUAGUGCUCUCUCAAAUAAGCUUCUAGUUUAGGGACAUCCUCCCUCCUAAAAAUAUCCCACAGUGCACCACCUGUCUCCUUUCUGCUGGUCAAGGGUUCCGGAAUUGAAGCUCCUCUAAGCUCACCACUGGAAACAUAUAGUAUAUUAUCACCCCAAUUGGUGGCUUCCGAUUCAUCGACGCCUUCUUUAAGUCGCUCUCUUUCCAAACGUUCCUUUUCAUCCUGUGCCUUGUGUUUCAUUUUCAACUUCUCCAUUGCGGCAAGCUGCUCAUCGCUUAAGGCUACCUCUGAAGUAUGUGUCAAAAUGUUUACCUUCACCAAUUGAUAAUUAAAGACAAAAGGUUAGUAGAUGUUGUAAUAAAGUAGCAGCAUGAGAUAGAAAACCAAUGGGUAAAUUAAAGUAGAGAUCACUCAGUUUUGGUUUUCCUUUUUUCUUUGGUAACUAAAUUAGGAAAAGUUACAAAA